rnacentral:rRNA from 1 species
CCUACGGGUGGCAGCAGUGAGGAAUAUUGCUCAAUGGGCGAAACCCUGAUCCAGCGAAGCCGCGUGAGUGAAGACGUAUUUAGGUAUGUAAAGCUCUAUCAGCAGGGAAGAAGAAAGACGGUACCUGACUAAGAAGCACCGGCUAACUACGUGCCAGCAGCCGCGGUACUACGUAGGGGGCACGCGUUAUCCGGAUUUACUGGGUUUAAAGGGAGCGUAGACGGCUGUGCAAGUCUGAAGUGAAAGCCCAGGGCUCAACCCUGGGACUGCAUUGGAAACUGUGGAGCUUGAGGGCUGGAGAGGUAAGUGGAAUUCCUAGUGUAGCGGUGAAAUGCGUAGAUAUGAGGAGGAACACCAGUGGCGAAGGCAGCUUACUGGACAGUAACUGACGUUGAGGCUCGAAAGCGUGGGGAGCAAACAGGAUUAGAUACCCUUGUAGUC